AUUCUUCUACCAUUGCCCCCAGUAUUUUUCUUCUCGGAUCUACAGCCAUACGCUUCAGUCGUACUGCAUUGCGAAGGAUAUAUUUUACCAGCGCAACUUGGCCUCCGUUGCCAUUAAAACCGGUUAUGCAGGCAUCCUUCAGGGCGGCACUCACUACAAAAUGCACAGCACAUCUACACAGAUUUUGACACCAUGAUAUUGUCAGUGAAAAGAAACUAAUAGCAUGAAAAUCAUGUGCAAAAA